AUUGAACGCUGGCGGCAGGCUUAACACAUGCAAGUCGAGCGGAGCGAGGGUGCUUGCACCUUAGCUUAGCGGCGGACGGGUGAGUAAUGCUUAGGAAUCUGCCUAUUAGUGGGGGACAACAUUCCGAAAGGAAUGCUAAUACCGCAUACGCCCUACGGGGAAAAGCAGGGGAUCUUCGGACAUUGCGCUAAUAGAUGAGCCUAAGUGGGAUUAGCUAGUUGGUGGGGUAAAGGCAUACCAAGGCGACGAUCUGUAGCGGGUCUGAGAGGAUGAUCCGCCACACUGGGACUGAGACACGGCCCAGACUCCUACGGGAGGCAGCAGUGGGGAAUAUUGGACAAUGGGCGGAAGCCUGAUCCAGCCAUGCCGCGUGUGUGAAGAAGGCCUUUUGGUUGUAAAGCACUUUAAGCGAGGAGGAGGCUACUUAGAUUAAUACUCUGGGAUAGUGGACGUUACUCGCAGAAUAAGCACCGGCUAACUCUGUGCCAGCAGCCGCCGUAA
rnacentral:rRNA from 1 species